rnacentral:rRNA from 1 species
CACGUAGGGGGCAAGCGUUGUCCGGAUUUAUUGGGCGUAAAGAGCGUGUAGGCGGCCAGACAGGUCCGUUGUGAAAACUAGAGGCUUAACCUCUAGACGUCGAUGGAAACCGUCUGGCUAGAGUCCGGAAGAGGAGAAUGGAAUUCCUGGUGUAGCGGUGAAAUGCGCAGAUAUCAGGAAGAACACCCGUGGCUAAGGCGGUUCUCUAGUACGGUACUGACGCUGAGACGCGAAAGCGUGGGGAGCGAACAGG